GUCGAGAAUCUUUCACAAUGGGGGCAACCCUGAUGGAGCGACGCCGCGUGGAGGAUAAGGUCUUCGGAUUGUAAACUCCUGUCAUGCGUGAACAAGGUUGCUUGGUUAAUACCUGGGCAAAUUGAUGGUAACGCAAGAGGAAGAGACGGCUAACUCUGUGCCAGCAGCCGCGGUAAUACAGAGGUCUCAAGCGUUGUUCGGCAUCACUGGGCGUAAAGGGUGCGUAGGUGGCGUGGUAAGUCAGAUGUGAAAGCCCGGGGCUCAACCUCGGAACUGCAUCCGAUACUGCCAUGCGGGAGGACUGGAGAGGUGACUAGAAUUCUCGGUGUAGCAGUGAAAUGCGUAGAUAUCGAGAGGAAUACCAAAGGCGUAGGCAGGUCACUGGACAGUUACUGACACUGAGGCACGAAGGCCAGGGGAGCGAACGGGAUUAGAUACCCUGGUAGUCC
rnacentral:rRNA from 1 species